AGGUAUUAGGUCUGUGCAAAAGUAAUUUUGUUUUUUGUCAUUACUUUUAAUGGUAAAAACUGCAAUUACUUUUGCACCAAACCAAUA
rnacentral:miRNA from 1 species